UGUAAGCGUAUACCAAAGUUGUUGCAGUUAAAACGCUCGUAGUCGGACUUUGGCAGUUCCGGAUGUGUGCACGUCGUGUGCGCACUUCGCGGGGAUUGCUUUUGUGGUCUUGCGUAGGAUGAGGCACUUUUAUUAGUGAACGUCCUCACGCAACCACUUUUUACUGUGAGAAAAUCAGAGCGCUCAAAGCAGGCAUUUGCCGUGAAUGUAUUAGCAUGGAAUAAUAGAAUAGGACUUGGUUCUAUUUUGUUGGUUUGUUGGGACUGAGUAAUGAUUAAGAGGGACAGUUGGGGGCAUUUGUAUUUCGGUGCUAGAGGUGAAAUUCUUAGAUUACCGAAAGACAAACUGCUGCGAAAGCGUCUGCCAAGGAUGUUUUCAUUGA
rnacentral:rRNA from 1 species